CCAAAUGAGGAGUCAUAUUUCUCAUUCCCUCAGCUUCUAAGGACUAGAUAAGGCAAACUGUGACGCAGAAAGAUAAUUAUGCAGACUGCUAGAGUUAUUGCUGGAAGUGCUUCAAGUUCUCAGCCUGAAAGUUGUCUUCACAGACCAUCGUACUCAUACUCUGACUUCUAGAUGGGGUAAUGGGGAAGCCAGGAACAUUUGAUCUGGGCUUGAUAAAUGGACACACAGAUGAAGGAAGAAACAAAUGAAGUAUGGCACCUAUGAAGGCUGGAGGACUCAGGGACAACUCCUGGAUGAGAUGAGCUGUGAUGAGGACACAAAGGAUUUCUAAACUGCUUUGCUGAUUUGAUCUGGGGCCCUGGAGUGCCAACAUCCUGUGAUAGCGGCUGAUUGUUGAUGCCUGGGAGGAUACAGCAGUGACGAUCCAAAUUUACAAGACUCAACAUGGUUUUCAAAACUUCCUUUUAAAAAAGAUGUUCCUGAGUUCUGGAAUCUGAACAAAAUAUGUCUGGUUAUUAUAUAAUUCUAAUGGUCCUUGUGGAUGCUACCAUUAGAGUUCAGUUAGUGUCUCAUCUAUCACUGUAAUAUUUGUAUUGUAACACUAAUCGUGGCAAAGUAUGAUUUGAUAAAUGCUCAUUCUCAAAUCUUUUAUUUUAGUGUGUUCAUGUAAGAUUAAUGACCAUGAUGACUUGAGAUAGAAUUUUUUGAUUUGUUGCUUUCUUUGUGUCUUCCAAUAUCACACAGAUUUGCAAAGAUAUCUAUGGCACAAGGGGAGAAAAUAAUAACUUAACUAGAGGAUAGGAGUAAGGCCUUCUAUUAACAAGACACUGUUGACAUUUCUAGGUAGAUUUCAGAAUUCUCCAGGCAUGCCUGGUAGAAAUUUUAGAAAUAAAAGCCAGGAAAGAAAGGCAGAAAGACUAUGUUGGGACAUUAGCAAUUUCUUCCUACCACAAUAUUUCUUUAUUCACUGUAAGUAAAUCUAAUGCUAAUUUAUUUAUCUGUCUAUCCUUUGAAUUACAAUUUAAAAUGUCAUAAAACAAAGAUUCAGAUAAGAUAGCUGAUUUGCUCAUAUUGAACGUCACAUUGAUUUUCACCAUCUGAGGCCCAUUGACAUCGUAUGGAUAUUAGAGAACCUGGAAUCACCAAGAUGGGGUUCUCCCACUGUUGUCUUCAUGAUCCAUGAUCAUUUGUACACAGUAAAUAUUUAUUUGAGUACAAUGACUUUACAAAUGAUACAUGCAGAUUCUGUAUACAAGGCUGAGAGUGAGUAGACCCAAUUUCAAACAAAAGGUUAUAUAUGUGACCAGUGAGAGUUUUCUAUCAUUCUCUAGGAGGCUAGACUAGGCAGAGUGCAAUUUAGGCCCCUGUGUGGUAAGGUGAGUUUUAAAAUUCCUCCUUUAUUUUCUCACUUGUUUUGGACAGCCAGGACCCAAAACAAAGCUAUUUAUUUGAAACCUCUCUCCUCUCUCUCUUCUUCCUCUUUCAUCAAUUUGAUUCCCUUUUUAUUAUCAUUAUUUAUGUUUUGUAUAACUAGAAAAAUAAUUUGUCAUGGAUUACAUCUUAUUUGCAAGAGGCUCUAGUAAGAUGGCAACAAGGCAUGCACAAUAUAUCAUAAUUUAGCAGCUUCUCUUGUAACUAUACUAAACUAGUGGUGGAAGAAAAUACAUAUAAACAACUCCGACAACAGAUUUUGAAUGAUCCAGUAACUUUGAUUUAUAUUUGGUAUUUGAUGGAACUGUAUUAGCAGUUAAAGCCAAUGGCUAAAUGAUUCCCAACACAAAAUGAGUCAGAAGUACAAAAGAAGCUUUACAAUGCACAAUAGAGAGCUCUGAGCCUCCCAGCUUAAAUUUCCAAAUUGCAGUGUAAAUUACAGGACUGCUUGUCAAUUUUAACUAACAGUUCUACCCAAUAGGGUCUAGCUAGGUAAUUCAUCCAUUAUUCCUUUAUGAAACAGUAAACACCAGCUAAAUUCCAUUGGCUUUUCUAAAUAAAAUUGCCUCAUCUCUCAUAUCUACUGCAGAGAAGGAGUGAAUCAACCUCUGACGACAGUAAGUCCCACACAACAAACAACAUGUGAAACCUGGAAUUAGUUAAAAAUGCUUUCCAUAUUUGUUAAUAGAAUUGGGUGCCAAUCAUCUUGAGAUGAUCUCAACCUUCCCAAGUUCUUUUGGUGGAAGGACUCUCACAUUCUUCUAUUUCCCCUCCUUACCCUAUAUUUUCUCUCAUCCCCAAAUAACUAUUUUCUCUUCACUUGUUUCCUCUAUGGCUUUCCCUGUCACAAAGAAGAAAUGAAUGAAAGAUUUGGAAGUCAAAAUCUAGCACUCCAAUUACCAACAUUAGCAGGAAGAGAAGAAUGUUCCAAAUAUCAACAAGAAUCUCAAAUCUAACCAAGCAAAAUAUGCAAUUAUGUAGGCAGAUGCUGGCUCAUCAGCCACUGAUAUAGACUGAUUUCUACCACUUCAUUAAUUUGACUUUCUUACUCUGGGCAAUUUGAUCAUACCCAUACAGCAUAUUUCUUAGCCAGAAAUAGAUUUGAUUGUUCUAGGCCAGGUGGGAAAGCCAAUAGAUUUGCACAAAUGCUUCACAGGGCAUCUGUAUUAUAGCAGGGAUGUGGGAAGUUUUAUUGUAGAGUUUGGAAGUGGACUGCUGAAUUCUCUUCCUUUAACCUAAUCAUGUCAUUCACGUGUGGAGCAUAGUCAGUCUUUACAUGUAUCUAUUGGUCUUUAUUGUUCAAUUUUUUUUUUUUUUUUUGAGAUGGAAUCUUGCUCUGUCACCCAGGCUGGAGUGCAGUGGCAUGAUCUCAGCUCACUGCAAAUUCCACCCACCAGAUUCAAGUGAUUCUCAUGCCUUAUCCUCUUGAGUAGUUGAGAUUACAGGUGCAUAUUGUCACACCUGGCUAAUUUUCGUAUUUUUAGUAGAGACGAGGUUUUGCCAUGUUGGCCAUGCUAGUCUGAAACUCCUGAACUCAAGUGAUCC
rnacentral:lncRNA from 10 species